AACGAACGCUGGCGGCAUGCCUAACACAUGCAAGUCGAACGAGACCUUCGGGUCUAGUGGCGCACGGGUGCGUAACGCGUGGGAACCUGCCCUUAGGUUCGGAAUAACUCCCCGAAAGGGGUGCUAAUACCGGAUAAUGUCUUCGGACCAAAGAUUUAUCGCCUUUGGAUGGGCCCGCGUUGGAUUAGCUAGUUGGUAGGGUAAAAGCCUACCAAGGCGACGAUCCAUAGCUGGUAUGAGAGGAUGAUCAGCCACACUGGGACUGAGACACGGCCCAGACUCCUACGGGAGGCAGCAGUGGGGAAUAUUGGACAAUGGGCGAAAGCCUGAUCCAGCAAUGCCGCGUGAGUGAUGAAGGCCUUAGGGUUGAAAAGCUCUUUUACCCGGGAUGAUAAUGACAGUACCGGGAGAAUAAGCUCCGGCUAACUACGUG
rnacentral:rRNA from 1 species